rnacentral:rRNA from 1 species
UACGGGGGGGGCAAGCGUUGUUCGGAAUUACUGGGCGUAAAGGGCUCGUAGGCGGCCAACUAAGUCAGACGUGAAAUCCCUCGGCUUAACCGGGGAACUGCGUCUGAUACUGGAUGGCUUGAGUUCGGGAGAGGGAUGCGGAAUUCCAGGUGUAGCGGUGAAAUGCGUAGAUAUCAGGAGGAACACCGGUGGCGAAGGCGGCUACCUGGACAGAAACUGACGCUGAAGCACGAAAGCUAGGGGAGCAAACAGG